rnacentral:rRNA from 1 species
CCUACGGGAGGCAGCAGUGAGGAAUAUUGGUCAAUGGACGGAAGUCUGAACCAGCCAUGCCGCGUGCAGGAAGACGGCGCUAUGAGUUGUAAACUGCUUUUGUACAAGGGUAAACCGGAAUACGUGUAGUCAGCUGAAAGGACUGUACGAAUAAGGAUCGGCUAACUCCGUGCCAGCAGCCGCGGUAAUACGGAGGAUCCAAGCGUUAUCCGGAUUUAUUGGGGUUAAAGGGUGCGUAGGCGGAUGGAUAAGGUAGAGGGGAAAUGUCCGAGCUUAACUCGGGAACUGCCUCUCAUACUGUUGAUCUAGCGCGUAGCUGCGGUAGGCGGCAUGUCUGGUGUAGCGGU